CCUACGGGUCGCACCAGUGGGGAAUAUUGCACAAUGGGCGCAAGCCUGAUGCAGCCAUGCCGCGUGUGUGAAGAGGGCCUUCGGGUUGUAAAGCACUUUCAACGGGGAGGAAGGCGAUAAGGUUAAUAGCCUUGUCGAUUGACGUUACCCGCAGAAGAAGCACCGGCUAACUCCGUGCCAGCAGCCGCGGUAAUACGGAGGGUGCAAGCGUUAAUCGGAAUUACUGGGCGUAAAGCGCACGCAGGCGGUCUGUCAAGUCGGAUGUGAAAUCCCCGGGCUUAACCUGGGAACUGCAUUCGAAACUGGCAGGCUAGAGUCUUGUAGAGGGGGGUAGAAUUCCAGGUGUAGCGGUGAAAUGCGUAGAGAUCUGGAGGAAUACCGGUGGCGAAGGCGGCCCCCUGGACAAAGACUGACGCUCAGGUGCGAAAGCGUGGGGAGCAAACAGGAUUAGAUACCCGUGUAGUC
rnacentral:rRNA from 1 species